GCAGACGAGACGGAUAUUCCCCGUGAGCAGUCGCUGGUCAGUUCAGCCGCUAUCCAGACCUGGGUCGGCGAGAGUGCCGCCACCAGCUGUUCUCCUACCGCUCUGCCGUUAUUCUGAACGCCCCCAGCCCUCCCGCGAGGGCGCCCCGGGACGGAAGGAUCCAGCAGCCUGUCGGCGCCCGCCGUUCUCGUGGUCGCCGUCGCCGUCGUAGUUGUGGUAGUCUCUGCCGUAGCCUGGGCCAUGGCCAAUUACAUCCACGUCCCGCCCGGCUCCCCGGAGGUCCCCAAGCUGGACGUCACGGUGCAGGAUCAGGAGGAGCAGCGCUGCCGGGAGGGGGCCCUGAGCCUCCUGCGACACCUGCGGCCGCACUGGGACCCUCAGGAGGUGACCCUGCAGCUUUUCACAGAUGGAAUCACAAACAAACUUAUUGGCUGUUACGUGGGUAAUACAAUGGAGGAUGUAGUCCUGGUGCGAAUUUAUGGCAAUAAGACUGAGUUGUUAGUUGAUCGAGAUGAGGAAGUGAAGAGUUUCCGAGUGUUGCAGGCUCACGGCUGUGCACCACAACUCUACUGUACCUUCAAUAAUGGACUGUGCUAUGAAUUUAUACAGGGAGAAGCAUUGGAUCCAAAGCAUGUCUGCAACCCUGCCAUUUUCAGGCUUAUAGCACGUCAGCUUGCUAAAAUCCAUGCUAUUCAUGCACACAAUGGCUGGAUUCCCAAAUCUAACCUAUGGCUAAAGAUGGGAAAAUAUUUCUCUCUCAUUCCCACAGGAUUUGCAGAUGAAGAUAUUAAUAAAAGGUUCCUAAGUGAUAUCCCAAGCUCUCAGAUUCUUCAGGAAGAAAUGACUUGGAUGAAGAAGAUUCUUUCUAACCUGGGCUCACCUGUUGUGCUCUGCCAUAAUGAUCUGUUGUGUAAGAAUAUAAUCUACAAUGAGAAACAAGGUGAUGUACAGUUCAUUGAUUAUGAAUAUUCUGGAUACAACUACCUGGCAUAUGAUAUUGGAAAUCAUUUCAAUGAAUUUGCAGGUGUGAGUGAUGUAGACUAUAGUCUUUAUCCAGAUAGAGAACUGCAGGGCCAGUGGCUGCGUUCUUACCUUGAAGCGUACAAAGAAUAUAAGGGUUUUGGGUCUGAAGUUACUGAAAAGGAAGUAGAAAUACUCUUCAUUCAAGUCAAUCAGUUUGCAUUGUACGCGGGCCUCUCACUGUUGUGGCCUCUCCCGUUGCGGAGCACAGGCUCCAGACGCGCAGGCUCAGCGGCCAUGGCUCACGGGCCUACCUGCUCCGUGGCAUGUGGGAUCUUCCUGGACCGGGGCACGAACCCGUGUCCCCUGCAUCAGCAGGAGGACUCUAAACCACUGCACCACCAGGGAAGCCCGCAUGUGCCUUUUUGAAUUGUGGUUUUCUCUGGAUAUAUGCCCAGUAGUGGGAUUGCUGGAUCAUAUGGCUUCACAUUUCUUUUGGGGAUUGUGGGCUUUGAUUCAAGCCAAAUACUCCACUAUUGAGUUUGAUUUCCUUGGGUAUGCAAUUGUUCGUUUUAACCAAUACUUUAAGAUGAAGCCUGAGGUUACUGCAUUAAAGGUGCCUGAGUAAAGAAGACAUUUAAUUAUUCUUAAGUAGCUGAACAAUGCUUGUGGAUAUUUUAAGAAAUUCCAAAAAGCCAAUAUAUGUUAAAAUUCUUUUAAUUUGGUUAUCUUGCUUUACAAAUUAUGCUUCUAAACAACCAAUUUAUUUUUUAAAUAGAAUGAUGUUAAGAAAUACACCUACUGCUCUCAGUAUGUGGUGGGUUAGAAGUUUGUUAAAUCAGCAAAAAGGUAUAAAGAUGUCAGUUUAAUCCUUUGAUAAUUUAAUCUAUGUUAUAUGUUAAUUAUUUAUUAUAAAUUUAACAUGAAUUCUGUGACUGUUUUCAUCUGUUUCAUCUGUUUGUUGAGUGUAAGCAACAAAAAUUUUCCAGAGAAAAUUUUCUUUUAAGUUUUACUUUAAUAACAUUAAUUUUAGUAAACAUUUUAGGUGUUUGGUGUAACCUUUUUAUUUUGACACACUGUUAGUUAAAUGAAUCAUUUACUCUUGGAAUGCCAGACACUGGUUUAGAUAAAUUAAGAUGUUCAUAGAAAAAUAUCUGUUUAGGAGAGUGAAGUACAUUCACUGUCUAUGCUAGUGGUACAUCUUUCUGGAGUACUGGAAAGCAUUUUUUUGGGGGGAACAUCUUAGAAUUAAAUUCCCCUCUUGCUACAUAGUCUGGCAGUAUAAAUAUUAAUAUUUACCAUAUAAUCCUGGAAUAGAUAUAUGAUGAUUUUAUGUUACCAAAAUCUAUAUUAAAUAAUGUUUUCACAUACUAUAUAUGGUCAUUUAAGUUACAGUUUGUUUUUAAAAUUUUACUAUAUCAAAUUGUUUCUAACCAAAAAUUUUGUUUUACUUAUUGAGAUGUUGUAUAUUUUGUUUGUUAUUAAAUAGUAGCUAGUACAGCAAUUGUUAAUUUUUGAAACAAAGACAGAAUGCUUAUCAUACUUGGGAACAAGAAAAUGUCAUUUAGUUUAAUUCUUUUUUACUUCUUCAGAUUCAUUCCUUACAGUGUGGUUUUAAUGUUUUAGUCUGGCUCCAUGUCUUUAGAAUGAUAGCAAAUGAUUACUUGAUAAAUGUAUCAAUAGUUUCAGAGAAAUAAGUUGAGAUGGUUAAAAGAAUUAAAUAAGGAACCUUUAGAACAUGAAUCUUGUACACUUAAAAUCUGAUAUAACAAUGUGAAUUAAGCAAAAAUACUCCUGGUAGGAGGGCUUCUGUUUGGUUUGAUUUCUUUUGAUUUUGUUUGUUUGUUUUUGUCUGUUUGAGAGUGAGAGGAUGGCAGUUAUUAUUUGGAAGGAACUUAGAUCUUUGAGAUAGAUAAGCAAGCAUCCAGUUUUGAAGACUGCUGUGUAGAGUUGAGCAGUCAUGGUUAACUUUACUUAGAAAAUGAGUCUGACAAGCUUUGCACUUUGGUCACAUAAGUGCCCAUGUACAAAGUUGGCUUAAUGGAUCUGCAUAUUCAGAAUAUGCAACUACAAAUUAAUCCUCUGAGAAAUCUUCUGGGGAGUCUGAUGUAUUAUUCCAAGUGACUUGUAUUCUCAGAUAAGUGCUUUAAAAUACUUGGAUUAUCUCAAGAUGUUUAAAGCUAAUAAAGUAAGUAGAAACACUUACAGGCCAUUUAAAAUGGUAAAUUCUAGUUACAUGAAUAGAAUCUUAAAAUCUGUUUUGUGUCUAUAUUAACAGUGUUAGACCAAGAUUUGUUUUCUACCUCCCCAAUGUUACAAAUGUUCACUUCUGUUUUUAUAAACCAUAUUACUGUAGGAUCAAUAGAAUUUUACCUAAUUAACUAAAUGAAAGGAACCAAUUAAACAAUGAAUAGCUUUUUAUAUAAUGUUAGAGUGAACUUGAAAAAUUGUUUUUGGUGGAAUUUCAUCUGGGGCUGGAACAUUUUCUUAGAACAAUGAAGAAUAUGUAGUACUCUUGCUUUCCGACUUCUUAAAAGUGCAGAUAUAUCUUGGAGAACUGUGGGAAGAGAGAUCAUUUUUCUACCUUACUCCAUAUUCUUCAAACUAUUUUGAAUAGAGAUUCACUGAGCCAUUGCUGGUAGAUUGUGCCUAGCUGCUAGCUGUGAUACUCUUGUAAGUGGUUCAGAGAGAUUCAUAUAGAAGUGAAUGUAAAGGGGAAUAAAGGCUCUCACUUUAGCCCUAGGCAAUGAAUCUUGGGAACAAAAUAAGCUAUUUAAGAUAUUUCCCCCACUUUUAGGCUAGAUUUUGGGUAUUAUGAUGUUCCCACUUCCUGUACAGGUUUUUGGGAUCAUGCUUCAGCCUAAUAAUAGGGUUCAAAAUUUGCUUCCCUUUUAAUUGAUCAUUUAAGGGAUUCUAAAGGGAAAACAUCCCUCUAAAAUUUGUCCUGUGGCUUGCUGAGAUGUCUUUUGCCUUUUUAUGUUAAGCUAAGGAACUUGAAUGCCUUACCUAAUAACUCAACUGAUAGUAAGCUCAUUUUGUAAAUAUGAAAAUGGUUGUUAGAGAAGUGGCAUUCAUGUAUACUCAGUGUUAGUCAAUAGACCAUAGUGGCCUGGAUGCUUUAGCAAGCAAAAUUCCACAGUUUGUUUUCCCUUUGUUCCUUACAUACUUGUAUGAUCUUAACUGACCAGUAAUACUUGAUUUUUUCCCCUCCUGACCCCAUGCUACCACCACUUUCUGGGAAUUAAAGAGAUGUGGUAGUAAAUCAUACUGUUCACAUGAUCAUUUGAGAUCAAUAUGAGCACAAAACUCAUCAACUAGGUCUGCCUGGAAUGUAUAUAAAACAGUGUAAAUAAAAAUUUGUAAAUUAGUGUGACUUGUAUGUUGCAUAUGAGAUUGUGUAUUGUUUUGCAUUCUUUUCCCUUUUGUAGACAUUUUUCUGUAAGGUCAUGAUCCAGCUCUUUGGUUUUAGACUGGAAAUAGCCAACAAAUCGGGCUGCACAGUGGGAUAACAAGAGGAACUGGAAAUAGGGUUUGUCAGUUUUUGUUAAUGUCAGUACUUAUUUAUUUAGCCUCUCAGUGCCUAAUAUGACUUUUUUUCAAACUUUAGUUGACCACUAGUUUUUGGAGGUUAGAUUCCUGCAAGCAGUAAAUUAAUACAUUGUUAGAAUUCCAUUAUUUGAGUCAUGACUCUAAGCUAAAGCAAAUUAAAAAUAUAAUUUUAUGAUUGCAGACUGAAGUGUUAUCCUUUUCUGUUUUCAAGGCUGUUAACCUUUUUCUACAAAAAAAACCUUUGAGUUUUUAUAUAUCUCAGUGUGAAUCUUAAGUCCCACAUAUACAAGGGAGAUGAUAAGUAAUAGCUCCUAGUUCAACUUAAGCAUGUCUCAGUUGGCUUCUCUAAGUAUAAAGUUGUUCAUUAUGGGAUUGUAAAACACAGAAAAGGUAUGUGCUCUUUUAAUGACUGCUAAUUCCAUUUUUGCUGAACUAAAAAUAUUUAACUUCAUAAAUAUAUUUAUUAUGAAACCUUCCAGAUUUAAAGGAAAAAUUCCCCCCAAACACUCUCAAUUAAGUUAAAAACCUCCACUUUUAAAGUUAUAUGGAUAUUUCUUUUUUACAUUACACAAAGCUUUCUGUACCAUUUUUGAAUUCCUUCAUAAUGUAAAUGAGAAAACUAUCAGUUUGAUUUCUGCUUUAAAUUGCUUUUAAUAAGCAUUUUAUACUGCAUUCCAAAGUGAUAUAGACUUAAGCUUUUAAUAUUAGUCAUUCAAUUGAUAGACAAAGUUAACAAUGCUUUAUGCUAGGAGAGUUUUGUUAUUGGCAGCAACUUGCACUACUUUACACAAAAGGCAAAUGCUAGUAGUUUUUAUGCACAAAGGAAAGUGAAUUAUAAGUAUGUGGUAAAGCAGCUUUAUCUUUAUUUCAAAAUUGAUUUGCUCUGAAUUUUCUUCAUUAGAUUUUUAGAAUGUCUUUGACUGGAAACUUAGUUACAUAUUAAGGCAAUCUCUUUUGUUUUUGUUUCUUUUUUAAACGAAAGACAUUAGUUAUAUGGAACCACCUUUUUUUUCUGCUACAUACCACUUGUGAGAUCACAGUGUUAUGUCUUGGGUUUGAUGUCUUCAGACAGAAAAGUGUAACGAUUAUUUUAAAUGAAUUUUUCCCCAUCUUUGAAGUUUAGUCCAUAAAUGUAUUGCUAUAAAAGAAAAUGCUUGAGUUUGCAUUACUUGAAUACUUGAAAACUGAAAUUAAUAAGAUAUAUUACACAAUGAAUUAGACUUUUCUGAACAGUUUUUAACACUAAAAUUUUCCUUUCUGGAUCAUAAUUUGAAAUGGACAGAUUUAAACUAUUUGGAUAGAAAAAAUAAUAUAGUGCUUAUAGAAAAUACCCUUUUGACUUUGAGGCAUUCAGAAUUCAAGUUUUUAGUAGGUUUCUGUCCUGAAAUCUGCUUUCUCUUCUUUCCUAUACUUAAUGCACUUACUAUGCUACUGAUGUUAUCAAACAGCAAGUUAAAAUCUGUGUUCGUUAUGCAUCCUAUGGCUUUCUAGUUACGAAAAAAUUGCUCUGUAAAAUACUCUUAAUCCCUAAAUGUAGGCAUAUUUUUGUCUACACCUUGCCCAUUAAUGGUAUUAAUACCAUAAAUCAUUUUAACAAAACACAAGGUGUUUAUACAAAUUGAAAACAUUACAUGUUACAUUUGAACUAGUUAGUGAAGGGUAAGAAAAAGGUGGCUGAUUUGAAUUGUUCCAUUAGUUAAAUUUCAAAAGGAACUUUGAGAGAUUAAGACCUGAUAGUAUCUGUGUAAACUAGCUCCUGUGAACUGGGAAAGACCCCCAAAGCAGUGGAGGAAAUGAGAGCACUUGCAUGGUUGUACUGUGGUGCUACUUAAAUUAUGUAGUGACACCCUGUAAUUUUUAUUGUUCAACAAUCUGAAGAAGUUUCCUGUUACUUACAUGUACUAAAGUAAUUAUAAAUUGGUAGAAUCUGCAAAAAGGAAACUUUUAAACUCUACUGUAUUUAGGAGCCUUUGUGUAGCUGGGUGAAGUUUCCAUGAUUUGAAGUAUUUGGAUUUUAAAAUAUACCAUUAUUUUAAGAAAGAAGACCUGGCAUUAUUACAUAUUCUUAAAUGACAAUGUCCUUAUCAGUUUCAGAAGAAAAAACCAAAAUGAAUAAUUGUCAUUGCAUUAGCUGUAUGUUGAAUUGGGAAAUUGUGACAUAAAGGUUAAAUUUAUGUUUCUCAAAUGUGAACCAUAGUAGUAUAAUGCUGCUCUGUAAAUACUGUAAGUGCUACAAAUAGUCUCAGCACUGAAAAUGUAUUGAUACCUCUCAAAUGAAUGCAACGUUUGAUGUAGGUGUUUUGAUAUGCCUCAGAAAGUAUCUGAGUGUCUGGGAACUUGUUAAUCUGUUUGGUAAUGAAGAUACUUCCUGUUUUUUGUUGCUUCUUUUCAUGUUUAAAAUUUAAUUUUUACAUUUUUACUACUGUUAAUUUAAGUAAAAUUUGUUCUCUGGUUAAAAUGGGGUUACCAGUGAAGAAAAUUAAAAACAGCCUCAUUCAUGUAACUGCUUAAAUAAAAAUGCAGUUUUGCUAUGUGUUCAUAAACUUUUAAUGAAUCUGUAUUUCUGUUUAAAUAUAAGUGAUGUUUAGGCUUUAUUUCUGUUUAAUAAGGCCUUUUAUCAUUGAUUAAAUAAAGGAAUGUAUCUUUUUGAAGAGAUUUAUAUUCUGUAAAUAAAAAUUGGUUGUAACAAUAAA